rnacentral:ncRNA from 1 species
UAUCCUUAUAAUCUAGCUGAUUGGCGCUAGAGUAUCCACGACCGGACCUUAAUCCGGUGUAUCCAGGGAAA